GUGCUAGCUUCAGUAACCCAUAUACUAAAAUUGGACCAAUACAGAGAUUGGCAUGGCCCCUGCAUGAGGAUAACAUGCAAAUUAGUGGAGCCCUUUUUU
ensembl:snRNA U6 U6 spliceosomal RNA